AUGAAUGGAUGAACAAUACAACUUUAGUCUUAAUAGCCAUAUGUGGUCACAGAUACUUGCAGAGUAUUAUUACUCAUUUAAGAAAAAAGGACUUCUCUAUUCAUGAAAGAUCUCAGAAAAACACUUGGGGUUCAACUCCGAAGUUGCAACUCAGUGAAAUUAAGACAAUUUUGAAGGAGACAGAAAAGGAAGGAGGAUUUGGGAGGAAGGGUCUCAGACUGUAGUACAGUUCUAAGAAUGUGUCAGAUCAAUGAAGAGUUCUCCAGCCUAAGUCACUUAUUAGAGGAGUCUCACAUCCUACAAGAUGGACCUACAGUAGCACCCUUGCCACACAGAGCCAAGACUUGGGGAAGUCUAGAGGGAGAAAGUGUGGCCUUGGUGCAGACAUGGUUGUGGAUCCCAAGGGAUGCAGCUGGAGCUGUUGAUCCAUUCUGCUCCUGCCAACAGGAAAGUUGAGUGGUGCAUUCUCAUGGCAUCCACACCCCGAACCUAAGAAAUGUAUCAUCUGUGCUACCACAUUCUAACUUAUCUAUCAGGUCACUGGGAGCAGGGCUUAUAGUCUCUGAUUUUCAGCUUGUAAUUAAUGAGCUAUAUUUGCCCCCAUGAAUUUGAAUGGACUCAUUCAGUCCGUGCCACCAAGCUUCCUGGCCUAACUUCUGUUUGCUGUCAGCUUAAUGCAUAUUCCAGAUGAUAUAGAUCUCACUUCUUUAUGACCUCUGGUCCAUUUACCACUUGGAACUGACAGGUUGGUCAUUGGUUUUCCCAGCGUUGGGUUAAAGAACAAUAAAAAACAAGGAAUAAAGGUAGGACUUUUAGGAAUAAAGGUAGGUCUUCACUGUUGUUAAAGUUCUCUGGCAUAACCGCUUCCAAAAUAUUGUAACAAAUAGGAAUUCAGAGGAACAGAAAUUCAGAAAUAUUUAAUUAUAAAAGCACUUCCAAUUCCGAAAGCUUAUAACCAUUACCUGGCAGUGAGUUCCACUUUGGAGAAGUACAAAGACCUUGGUGAUAAUAUCUUAGCACUUGUAAAGGCCAGAGAAAACCAGCUCCUGUCUUUUUGGGACUUCAUCUGUACUCGGUAGUUAUAACUAUACCAUCAGUUCCAUUUGCCUGUAAAGGAGUUUUGUUAAUGGCCCUGCAACUACCCUUUGUUAAGUCACCCUUGGAGGGAUGAUUUUAAGUGUGGUCACCAUGGUAAUGCCCCAUGGAUCAAUUUACCCUCUCACUCUUCCAUGACCCAGACUUCACAGACCUUAAUUUUAGGCCAGCUCUGUCCUCUUGAGGAGAUAUGUAAUUAUGAAUCAAUCACAUGGAGUGCUAAUACUCCUCAUACAGAGGUCUAAUAUUAAAAUAGUAUUGGGGUAAAAAACUUUCAAAUUUGCUCUCUCUCUUAUUAUCUGACACUCCUUCCCCAGGGCAGCCUGGUUUUGAGUGGCUGUAUAAUUGCAUGAUGGUUUUGCUGGGUGUUCCUUUGUAUUUUAUUCUUUCCUGAUUCUUCCCAUUAGAUUACUUGGAGGUCUUUUUGAAGUGGUGUAUGGGUUAGGAAACACAAAAGUAUACAUUUUUUCAUGUACAGUGAACACCUAUAUCAUUAUCAAAGGAAUGUAAGGGCCUCUGAUUAAGAGAUAAUCAGAAGCUCCUCCUGAUUCUUCUUCUGUCUUAUGGAUUGCCAUGGUGAUAGGAGGGGGAUAGAAUUGGGAGAGAACUAGAACUUGUAAUAUUCAAAGCUCAUAAAAUCCAUGUGAACAUUCAUUUCUUAUUUGAACAUGGAUUGUUACCUAUUAUGUGAAGAGGAUACCACCUGUCUAAAAAGUCUCCUAGCAUGCUCCUAGUAGUCCUCCUAGGAUUUUAGUGGCUGUGGUUGAUAGGGAAUAGGUUCUUGCAUUUUAAUACUGUUUGGUUUCACCCAUACAACAUUUGGCAGGAAGAAUGAAAACUAUCUUGGAAUGGUUCGAGAGUGUCUAAUAGGUGUCAGGCAAGAGUUGUGAUGGAACGCCCAAGUGAAGGGUUACUUUUCAACUGCCUUUUCAGCAAGAAUGGGGAUACCUGCAGAAAGAAACUAUGCCCCAGUGAGACAGAGAGAGGGCGAGAUGCAGACAGAGAGAGACAGAGCGCUCCAACCAUCAUAGCCAUGACAAUACUGCAGAGCUGACUAGAGGGAAGCAAAACCUUUCGUGCCGAUCAGUGGCUCUGAUUUAAUCCUCAGUGACCGUGCAUGAACAAGUGCAUGGACCAAGAGUGAGAGAUAUCUGUAACCAGACACAAGGGGCUCUGAGGAAAGGAGACAGCACAGCAUUGUAGGCAAAGAUGGACGAGGAGUAGGAACUACUGGGCUCACAGCAAAGGAUCCAGACAGCAGCAGCCCAGAUACUGUUUCCCUGGCACUCUAGUUGAGACAGUUUCUGAGCUGUGUCCUAUAGAACACCAGUUCUGAAAGAUGUUUAGUUAGAACACACUGAAAAGAGGUUUCCAUAGUCAAAUAAAUUAGGAAAUGCUACCUAGCAUGCUAGGUGGAGAUGUGUAAUCAUAGUCAUAUGAAGUAAAGAAAGCAGUCUAACUUUAUUUAAGCUCAGUGCUGCUCCAAACUUUUUGAAUAUAAAACCUUAUUUCUAUUUACUUAUUUGAGUAUUGAUUUUUUUUUUUUGUCUUUUUGCCUUUUCUAGGACCACUUCCCACAGCAUAUGGAGGUUCCCAGGCUAGGGGUCAAAUCGGAGCUGUAGUCUCCAGCCUACACCAGAGCCACAGCAACAUGGGAUCCGAGCCAUGUCAACCUACACCACAGCUCACGGCAAUGCUGGAUCUUUAACCCGUUGAGCAAGGCCAGGAAUCGAACCUGCAACCUCAUUGUUCCUAGUUGGAUUCGUUAACCACUGCGCUACAACGGGAACUCCCUAAGUAUUGAUUAUUGAUAUCUAAAGGAAAGUGUGUCCUGUUGAAUAUAGUAUGGAAAUGCUAUGGUAAUGGUUAUUAGUAAAGAAAUAUGGAGAAUUGGAUAUCAUACCCCAAUAAAUGGCCUUUUGAGUUCUUGUGUAUAUAUCCAACCCUAGUUGUACAUCAGGAUCAAUUGGUGAAGUCU
rnacentral:lncRNA from 1 species